AGAGUUUGAUCCUGGCUCAGGAUGAACGCUAGCGGCAGGCUUAACACAUGCAAGUCGAGGGGCAGCGGAGCGGAGUGCUUGCACUCUGCUGCCGGCGACCGGCGCACGGGUGAGUAACACGUAUGCAACCUGCCCCGGAGCGGGGGAUAACCCGGCGAAAGCCGGACUAAUACCGCGUAUAUAUCCAGGAGGCAUCUUCUGGAUAGGAAAGGACUUCGGUCCGCUCCGGGAUGGGCAUGCGGCGCAUUAGGCAGACGGCGGGGUAACGGCCCACCGUACCGACGAUGCGUAGGGGUUCUGAGAGGAAGGCCCCCCACACUGGUACUGAGACACGGACCAGACUCCUACGGGAGGCAGCAGUGAGGAAUAUUGGUCAAUGGGCGAGAGCCUGAACCAGCCAAGCCGCGUGAGGGAAGAAGGCGCUCAGCGUCGUAAACCUCUUUAGCCGGGGGACAAAACCUCCUCGCGAAGGAGGCUUGAGAGUACCCGGAGAAUAAGCAUCGGCUAACUCCGUGCCAGCAGCCGCGGUAAUACGGAGGAUGCGAGCGUUAUCCGGAUUUAUUGGGUUUAAAGGGUGCGCAGGCGGACAUUCAAGUCUGCGGUCAAAUUCCGGGGCUCAACCCCGGCCAGCCGUGGAAACUGAAUGACUUGAGUGGGCGAGAGGUAUGCGGAAUGCGCGGUGUAGCGGUGAAAUGCUUAGAGAUCGCGCAGAACUCCGAUUGCGAAGGCAGCAUACCGGCGCCUUACUGACGCUCAGGCACGAAAGCGUGGGGAUCGAACAGGAUUAGAUACCCUGGUAGUCCACGCAGUAAACGAUGAAUGCUGGUUGUUCGGGCCGACUGAGGCCUGAGUAACGUAGUGAAAACGUUAAGCAUUCCACCUGGGGAGUACGCCGGCAACGGUGAAACUCAAAGGAAUUGACGGGGGC
rnacentral:rRNA from 1 species